GAUGAACGCUGGCGGCGUGCCUAAUACAUGCGAGUCGAGCGAACGGACGAGAAGCUUGCUUCUCUGAUGUUAGCGGCGGACGGGUGAGUAACACGUGGAUAACCUACCUAUAAGACUGGGAUAACUUCGGGAAACCGGAGCUAAUACCGGAUAAUAUUUUGAACCGCAUGGUUCAAAAGUGAAAGACGGUCUUGCUGUCACUUAUAGAUGGAUCCGCGCUGCAUUAGCUAGUUGGUAAGGUAACGGCUUACCAAGGCAACGAUGCAUAGCCGACCUGAGAGGGUGAUCGGCCACACUGGAACUGAGUCACGGUCCAGACUCCUACGGGGACCAGCAGUAGGGAAUCUUCCGCAAUGGGCGAAAGCCUGACGGAGCAACGCCGCGUGAGUGAUGAAGGUCUUCGGAUCGUAAAACUCUGUUAUUAGGGAAGGACAUAUGUGUAAGUAACUGUGCACAUCUUGACGGUACCUAAACAGAAAGCCACGGCUAACUACGUG
rnacentral:rRNA from 1 species